rnacentral:rRNA from 1 species
AGACCCCGGCAUACUGCUCAGUAACACGUGGACUAUCUAACCUAAGGAGAGGGAUAAUCCCGGGAAACUGGGGCUAAUACCUCAUAGACUAUGUAUGCUGGAAUGCUUCGUAGUUCAAAGGUCAGCCGCCUUAGGAUGGGUCUGCGGCCGAUUAGGUAGUUGUUGGGGUAACGGCCCAACAAGCCUGUAAUCGGUACGGGUUGUGGGAGCAAGAGCCCGGAGAUGGAUUCUGAGACACGAAUCCAGGCCCUACGGGGCGCAGCAGGCGCGAAAACUUUACAAUGCGGGAAACCGUGAUAAGGGAACUCUGAGUGCCCGUUAAAUCGGGCUGUCCACCAGUUUAAAAAACUGGUGAAGAAAGGGCCGGGCAAGACCGGUGCCAGCCGCCGCGGUAAUACCGGCGGCUCGAGUGGUGGCCACUAUUACUGGG